GCCAGCUCUCUAUCAGCCAUUUGCAAUAUCAAGGGGAUGCACAAGCUCCUCCCCACUUUCCCUGCCUCGGCCGACCGAACUCUUCUGGUGAGGCACCUGCCAGCUGAGCUGACCGCUGAGGAGAAAGAGGACUUGCUGAAGUACUUCAAGGCACGGUUGGUGCAUGACCUGUCAGAUAAGGGGCAGCUGAAACAUACAGCUUUUGCCACAUUCCCUAAAAAGCAGCUAUAAAGGCAUUGACAAGACUCCAUCAGCUGAAACUUUUAGGUCAUACUUUAGUCUUUGAAUUUGCAAAAGAGCAAGAUCAAGUUCACUCCCCAUGUCCCACUCCAGUCUCUGAAAAAAAAAAAAAAAGGUCUGAUGACCCUGUUGAAGACGAUAAAGAAAAGAAAGAAUUGGUUAUUUAACAGUAGAAAAUGUAAUUACACCAAACCAUGGGCUGACUUUUCUUAAUUCAUGCCUCAAGUAUAUGUACCCACCACCUUCCAGCACAAUCCUAACAAACAGAGUAAAUGCUUUGGCAAGCGUGCCUAAGUUCUAUGUACAGGUCCUUCAUCUUAUGAAUAAAAUGAAUUUGCCCACAGCUUUUAGAUCAAUUACUGCGCAGCCUCCCAUCUAUGAAGACCAUAUGCCAUUGCAUCCACCUCUUCCACCCACAUCUCCUCAGCCACCUGAGGAACCUCCUUGGCCAGAAGACGAUGAGGAAUUAUCUAGUGAAGAAUUAGAAGAUGACAGCAGUGAUGAUGAGGACCAACAGAAAAUGAACAAACUAAUGGAACUAGCAAAUCUUCAGCCCCAAAGACCCAAAACAAUAAGGCAGCGCCAUGUGAGAAAAAAGAGAAAAAUAAAGGAUAUGUUGAACAUACUUUCGUGUCCUUCACAAAACAGUUUACAUCUAGUGCUGUUACCUUCGGAUGUAUUUGACCAACCACAACCUGUAGGUAAUAAAAGAAUUGAAUUCCAUAUAUCUACCGACAUGCCAGCUGCAUUUAAGAAAGAUUUAGAGAAGAAACAAAAUUGUGAGAAAAAAAUAAUGAUCUACCUGUUACUGAAGCUGAUGCAUCCAGUAUAGGAUUUGGAAAAAUCUUUCCCAAACCUAAUUUGAACAUCACAGAAGAGAUUAAAAAAGACUCUGAUGAAAUGCCAUCGGAAUGUAUUUCUAGAAGGGAAUUGGAAAAGGACAGAAUUUCUAGAGAAGAAAUGGAAACACUUUCAGUUUUCAGAAGUUAUGAACCUGGUGAACCAAACUGUAGAAUUUAUGUAAAGAAUUUAGCUAAACAUGUUCAAGAAAAGGACCUUAAAUAUAUUUUUGGAAGAUAUGUUGACUUUUCAUCAGAAACACAGUAGAUCAUGUUUGAUAUACGUUUGAUGAAAGAAGGUCGUAUGAAAGGACAAGCUUCCAUUGGACUUCCUAAUGAAAAAGCAGCAGCAAAAGCCUUAAAGGAAGCUAAUGGAUAUGUGCUUUUUGGAAAACCCAUGGUGGUUCAAUUUGCUCGAUCUGCUAGACAAAAACCAGAUCCUAAGGAAGGAAAAAGAAAGU
rnacentral:lncRNA from 1 species